UCAGAUUCAGCACAUGCAAACACGUACAUGCACAGGGAUAGGCUGAAGAGGAAGAGGAAGAGCAGGUGUUGGUCUUGAUGUCUCAGGGCAGGCAGAGGUGGAAGAGAAUCUGUGUGUAAAGCACCUGCACAGUUCAAACCCAUGCUGUUCGAGGGUCAACUGCAUUCUUGAAAAUUGCUAAAAGACUCCAUUGUAAGUGUUGUCACCACAAAAAAUAGUAAGCAUGUAAUGUCAUGCAUAUGUUAAAUCAGCUCAAUUUAGCCAUUCCACAAUGUAUACAUUUUUG
rnacentral:lncRNA from 10 species